CCCUAUGGGCGGCAGUGGCAGGGAGGCUUCGGCCUGCCGGAAUGCUAGAUCCCCGGUCUGCAAACCUUGUCAUUUGUCGCCCUCCUCG
rnacentral:antisense_RNA from 1 species